rnacentral:rRNA from 1 species
CAACAGCUAGAGUUUGAUCCUGGCUCAGGAUGAACGCUAGCGGCAGGCUUAACACAUGCAAGUCGAGGGGCAGCGCGUUGUAGCAAUACGAUGGCGGCGACCGGCGAAAGGGUGCGUAACGCGUGAGCAACCUGCCCGUAUCCGGGACAUAAGCGGUGGAAACGCCGUCUAAUUUCCCAUAACAACGAGGGCCGCAUGGUCCAUGUUUGAAAGAUGCGUCGGAUACGGAUGGGCUCGCGAGACAUUAGCUAGUCGGCGUGGUAACGGCACACCGAGGCGACGAUGUCUAGGGGUUCUGAGAGGAAGGUCCCCCACAUUGGGACUGAGAUACGGCCCAGACUCCUACGGGAGGCAGCAGUGGGGAAUAUUGGGCAAUGGGCGAAAGCCUGACCCAGCAACGCCGCGUGAAGGAAGAAGGUCUUCGGAUUGUAAACUUCUUUUAUGAGGGACGAAGGACGUGACGGUACCUCAUGAAUAAGCCACGGCUAACUACGUGCC